GGGAAAAUAAUGAAAGUAGGAAGAGGAAGAAUUCCAAGAAAGAGAGAACAACAAAAAAUCUGAAUAAAGGGAAGAGGGAGAAGGCGAAGAAGAGAGGAAGAGGGUAAAUCAGAAAAGUAAGAACAGAAGAAGAGAGGAAAAGACAGAAGAAAUCGCAUAAAAGGAGGAGGAGGAGGGAGGAAGAGAAAGGAACCGAAGUAACCUGGUAUUUGGGAAGACUAAUACUGAUCAUGCAACUCCAAUGAAAUAAUUUCCGGUACUUACCUGCUGACCCAACAGCUCUGAUACUAGUUGUCACAUAACCAAAUUCUCCAUCACAAAAUAAUAGGAAAUAGAAAAGAAAUAGAGAAAAGAAGGGAAGUAGAAGCAGAGAAAAUUAAGAGAAAUAAGAAUUUAAAGAGGAGAAAAUAGAUCUUUAUUGAUUAGAAUUUCAGAAUGACAAUCCUGGAGCUAUUCCAUUUCUUUUAUAGGCCAAUUUCUUCUAAAGACAGCUAGAAUUAACUGUUCUCACAAAUUCCUUCUUCCCUAACAAAUCUGUAACAACCCCCAGACAUCCAAACAAAAUAUAACCCCCCUUCUUAACUACGAGACUCUUAUAUGUAACAUUAAGCUUUUGGGCUAUUGUUUUAACAAAGUAUAAACUCAGCCAUGUUGAGACCAUAUUGGGUUGACCUUGAUGCAGUUGCCACCGAGAUCUCUCAUGACAGUAAUCUCAAGCCCAUUGUUCAUGGGUUGACUUUGAAUCCGAAUAGUAAGCCACCAUUUGCUCUCAUUCAUGGGCAUCGAUACUAUAAAGGCUACUUUGUUAUUUCUCCUACAUCAAGCUGGAUUCCUCAAUUGAUACAUGAUUUUCAUUCUACGCCCUCAGGGGUCAUUUGAGGGCCUAUAGGACCUAUCGCAAGCUUGCUUCUAGUCUCUAUUGGCCAGGGAUGAUGACAACCAUCCAGACUUUUGUUACAGAAUGUUAGGUUUGUCAGAAAAAUAAGUAUGAUCAUUAACUCCAGCAGGUUCAACUCCACUUAUUCCAAUUUCCAAACCAAACUUGGGAGGACAUCUCAUUGGAUUUCAUUUCAGGUUUACCAAAGUCCCAAGGGAUGGAUUGUGUUUUGGUUGUGGUGGAUCGCCUUUCAAAGUAUGCCAUUUUCUCCCUUUCAAGCAUCCUUUCUCUACCAAGCAAGUUUCUGGGCUAUUUAACAAAAAUAUUUUUAAGCUACAUGAUAGUCCAUUGUCCAUAAUUAGCCUGUUUUCAUCAGCAAUUUUUGAUCAGAAAUUUUUCACUUGAUGAAAAGCAAACUCAACUCAGAUCUUCCUAUCGUCUUCAAACUGAUGGCCAAAUGGAAGCCCUUAAUAGAAUUCUGGAACAGUACCUUCGCUGCUUUGUUUCUUAACAGUCUCGCAUUUGUAUGGAAUAUUUACACUGGGCUGACUAUUGGUACAAUACCACCUAUCAAGGAGCUGCCAAACAUACGCCAUUUCAGCUUGUUUGAGGCUGCCUUCCACCUACAUUGCAUCAAUUCCUUCCUGGUGAAACUGUGUUGAUUAUGUUUAUAUUGCUUUAGCAAACCGAGAUGAAAUUAUUGAAGCAAUUGAAAUUUAAUCUCAGUCAAGCACAAGCUCAGAUGUCUUUCCAGGCUAACAAACAUAGGCGGGAAUUAGUUUUCAAAGUGGGGGAUGAGGUCCUUCGUAAACUUUGUCCUUAUAGGCAAGCUUACUAUCAAGGACAGAAUUUCUCCGAAAUUAGCCACUCGUUUUUAUGGUCCUUUCCGAAUUCCUGAACAUGUUGGAUUGGUGGCAUAUCGAUUGAAACUACCUGCUGAUACCAAGAUUCACUCAGUCAGCAGCAGAAACUUCAAGGUCAGCAUACAUCAACAGUUCCUCAUGAAUUGGCUAUAACUAAUCCCAUCCAAUUUUUGCCUGAAGCAAUUCUAAAACAUUGUUCUAUUAUAAAAGACAAUGCUCCCUGUGAACAGCUAUUGAUCCAAUGGAUUAGUAUACCUACUGAGGAAUCAAUUUGGAUUGAUUUAAAUUAUUUCAAAGGUCAAUUUCCUUUUUUUCAACCAUGAGGACAAGGUUGUCCCUUCAAAGGCCAACAAUGAUGGGCAGGGAGAACAAGGCCGUGAGAAAAUGCCUAAAUGGCAGGUUUAUUCUAGAAGAUUUGGCAAAGGUACAGUAGCAACAUGGGAGGAUCGCACCUAGGCAAGAACCGGCUUAUAAAUAAGAGAGAAUUGCAUGAAAUUGGCAUGACCAGCCCUGAUUAUUCUUCUGUUAUUUUUUAUCAGCAUAAAGCGUGGGGGAAAAGCCUGUUGUUGCAGUCAUAGCUGUGGGAAGGGAAUUGAUGAUUUUAUUUUUUUGUUACUGAGAUUCAUUUGUAUCAGAUCUAGUUUAUUAAUAUCAAAUUUCUGUCAAAUGCCUCCAUUUUUACUCCUCCAAUUCUUUAUUGUGAAGUUAUUUGGAUUGAUUGGCUCUAUUAAAGAAGAGCCUCAGGCACGCCCAAGGCUCCAGGUGCACGAGGCUCAGAGGUCAGCUCCUUGACACUCCCCAGGCAAGCGAUGAUUCACAGACACACUCAGGCACACCUUGCACCUAGCCUCACCUCGGCAAUCUAGACACCCUAUUCAGAGUUGGCUGGCUUUUUCCUCACUCCAAAUGCAGAUACAACAACUCCCAAUAAAGAAAAGAAAACAAAGAAGAAGAACAAGAAAGAGGAAGGAGGAGCAGCCCUGAAAAAACAGAGGAGAAAGAACGUGUACUUAACUUUGUGUGCUCCUACAGAUCAAUUACUUUUUAUUCUUCUUCUUCGUCUUCUUCUUCUACUCCUUUCUUUAUUUUUUUUUUCUUUUGGAUUCUUCUUCCCCUCCUCCUCAUGUCUUUCUUUCUUCUUUUAGGUUUUCUAAUCUCUCUUUUCUAUGUUGCUAUGCUGCCCAAUUUCACUUUGAUUGCCGACACUGGAGAUCUCAAACACUCAUGCAUGUUUUAUUUCAUAUUAAAAAUUAAGUAAUUUAUUUUUAAUGUGAUUGUUAAAUUUGGUUCAGGCCUAACUCACCCCAAAAGCUAGCUCAAGGGGGAGGAGUGCCUAUGGCCCAUAUAAGGGGCACAUUACCCCUUUCCACAACCGAUGUGGGAUUCAACACACCCCCUUACGCCUAGAAUUUUCACCGGUGCGUGGCACAUUUAUGGGGCGCCCAACAUCGGAUGCAGAGGCUCUGAUACUAUGUUAAAUUUGGGCAAGGCCUAACUCACCCAAAAGCUAGCUCAAGGAGGAAGAGUGCCCAUGACCCAUAUAAGGGGUACAUUACCCCUUUCCACAUCUGACGUGGAAUUCAACACACCCCUUCACGCCCAGAAUUUUACUGGUGUGCGUGACACAUUUAUCGGAGGCCCAACAUCGAAUGGGGAGGUUCUGAUACCAUAUUAAAUUUAGGUCAGGCCUAACUCACCCCAAAAGCUAGUUCAAGGGGGAGGAGUGCCUAUGGCCCAUAUAAGGGGCACAUUACCCCUUUCCACAACCGAUGUGGGAUUCAACACACCCCCUCACGCCUAGAAUUUUUACUGGUGCGUGGCACAUUUAUGGGGCGCCCAACAUUGGAUGGAGAGGCUCCGAUACCAUAUUAAAUUUGGGCCAGGCCUAACUCACCCAAAAGCUAGUUCAAGGAGGAAGAGUGCCCAUGACCCAUAUAAGGGGCACAUUACCCCUUUCCACAUCCGACGUGGGAUUCAACACACCCCUUCACGCCCAGAAUUUUACUGGUGUGCAUGACACAUUUAUGGGAGGCCCAACAUCGGAUGGGGAGGCUCUGAUACCAUAUUAAAUUUGGGUCAGGCCUAACUCACCCCAAAAGCUAGCUCAAGGGGGAGGAGUGCCUAUGGCCCAUAUAAGGGGCACAUUACCCCUUUCCACAACCGAUGUGGGAUUCAACAGUGAUCAAAGAUUUUAAGUAUUUUGAAUUACUUUUACAACAAUAAAAUCCUUGUUAAUGCCAUUAUAUUAUCAAAUUACAUACUAUUGUAUAAUAUUAAAUUUAUUUAAUUUCUUAUUGCCAUUAAAUUACUUAUUAUCAAAGCUCUCAAAAUCAAAGUCAAUAUAUUCAAGAACUUCCUACACUCUUUUUGGUGGUAAUAAGUUUAAUUCUAUAAUAUCUAGGUAUCUAUCAACAUACCUAGUUAUUUGAUAGUGAAUUGAUUAACGUUAAUGAUGUCUUAGAUUGAUGAAUUUAAUGUCCUUAUUUGAUUUAUACUUAUUAUUUAGUUAUUCUCUUAGUUUUAGUUUUAAUUGUAAUUAUAAUUAUAUUUUUAAAUAUCUAUUUAUUUUAUAAAAUUUUCAAGUUUUUCAACUGUGACCAUCACAUUAUUGUGUCACAGGCCUCUUUCAAUUACACACAACUUGAUACGAAUUCAUGAUAGAGAUACAAGUAUCCCAAGAAUUAAAAUGUCAAAAAAGCACAUAC
rnacentral:lncRNA from 1 species